GUCCACGCCUAACGAUGCACACUAGUUGUUGCGAUGCUAGUCAUUGCAGUAAUGCACUUAACAGAUUAAGUGUGCCGCCUGGGGAGUACGGUCGCAAGAUUAAACUCAAAGGAAUAGACGGGGACCCGCACAAGCGGUGGAGCAUGUGGUUUAAUUCGAAGAUACACGAAGAACCUUACCUGGCCUUGAUAUCCUAAGAAUCCUGUAGAGAUACGGGAGUGCUAGUUUACUAGAACUUAGAGACAGGUGCUGCACGGCUGUCGU
rnacentral:rRNA from 1 species